GCUUGUAGAUGCCACAGGCAGCUCUUCACCGGGAACGGGGCAGUGCACGGUGCUGGGAUCCCUGCGGUUAGAAGAAGAGGAGCACAGGGGAGCCGAGUCUCGAGGUUGCUUGAAGGAUGCCCAGCACAGAGACCGCGGGGGCUAUGACAUGGUGGUGACAUCGGGCAGCGAGGCAGAGUCCUGUCUGGUUUCAAGGACUGCACCGAGUGGUUUGCAAGAGGGGAAAUGGUGAUGACGGAAGAAGCCUCCUGCUGGGGUGCAGAAUCUGUGAUGCA